GGGGAAUUGUUCGCAAUGGGCGCAAUCCUGACGCAGCGACGCCGCGUGGGGGAGGAAGGGCUUCGGCUCGUAAACCCCUGUUGCCCGGGGCGAACCAUGGGUUUCGACCCAUCUGACGGUACCGGGUGAGGACGCACCGGCUAACUCCGUGCCAGCAGCCGCGGUAAUACGGAGGGUGCGAGCGUUGUCCGGAAUCACUGGGCGUAAAGGGCGCGUAGGCGGCAUGCCAAGCGUGUGGUGAAAGCCCGGGGCUCAACCCCGGGUCGGCCGUGCGGACUGGCGUGCUCGAGCACUGUAGGGGCGGGUGGAAUUCCGGGUGUAGCGGUGGAAUGCGUAGAGAUCCGGAAGAACACCGGUGGCGAAGGCGGCCCGCUGGGCAGGAAGGCUCGCAAGAGCCGGCUGACGCUGAGGCGCGACAGCGUGGGGAGCAAAC
rnacentral:rRNA from 1 species